CACGUAGGGCGCGAGCGUUGUCCGGAAUUAUUGGGCGUAAAGAGCUCGUAGGCGGCCUGUUGCGUCCGCUGUGAAAGCCCGGGGCUUAACCCCGGGUCGGCAGUGGAUACGGGCAGGCUAGAGGUAGGUAGGGGAGAAUGGAAUUCCCGGUGUAGCGGUGAAAUGCGCAGAUAUCGGGAGGAACACCGGUGGCGAAGGCGGGUCUCUGGGCCGAUAUUGACGCUGAGGAGCGAAAGCGUGGGGAGCGAACAGG
rnacentral:rRNA from 1 species